GAUACAAAGCCAACAAGUGAAUGCAUGUUCUAAGGUGGAACCUUUUUAGUUAUUUUUUUCUUCCUUUUUAUAGUUCUUGAUUGCUUGCUUCUAUGGAAGAUCGUGGCUAUUUUUCUUUUCAAGUUUUGAUUUUGAAAACUGCAUAUUUUUUUUUCUUCUUGCAAAUUCAGUUUGCAGUAUACCCUUUUUCUUUUUGGCCCAUGAUUCAGAAAUUCAUUGAAAUGGAGCAGUUAUUUCCGGUUUUCAUUCUGGGCUUUUGCUAUCGGCCAUGGCAUGGACAGUAUCUGGCUUUCAAUUUCCUUUUCUUUGGUUUUUAUGCGACUCUCUCUCUCUCUCUCUCUCUCUCUCUCUCACAAGCUGAUUUGGUGAAGGCUCUUAAUGGAAACCGGUUUAUUAAAACUUCGAUGACCAAUCGUAGCUAUGAGAUCUGAGGGCAUUUUGCAUGGUUUCUCGGCAUGUCUUGCGCUUAGCAGCUUCAUCUCCUUCAAUGACUGCUUUCUGCAAGCUAGGCUCGACAAUUUUCCCUUUCUUAUAAUUUCAGGUUGCUCUUGAGUGUAGCAAGUCAUUAAGCUUAAUGAUUUGACCUGCUUUCAUACGUGGUCCAUGAUAAGAGCAAUUGAUUUGGGUAGUUUCCUUGAUUUCACUAUGAACCUCCCAUCAUUGUUGCUUUUAUUACCCUGAAGGUGUGGUAUUCUGCAUUGGCUUUUAUGAAAAUCCUGAGUUUCACUAUCAUUUGAUUAUGACACUGAUGAUAUCCGAUGCUAUUACUUUUUCCAUAAGCAACACCUGGAUAAAACUUUUCAACGCGAAAAAUGUUUUUCCUUCAAAUAUGUUUUACAUGCAGUGUGAAUCAGAGAUUAGUUGCAUGGUAUGAAUGGUUUUGAAGUGAAUAUAAACCGAUUGAUUACAGUGCAGAAACAAAAUUCCUUUCCUUCCCCUUACUAAUUUUAACUAUCUAAACAAAAAAAUAUGUAUAUCAUUUCCUUUCCUUUCUAAUUAUGUAUCCAAAGGUAGUGUCAGAGUUUUUAUCUUCCAUUAAACGCUUAUUAAGUUGCUUAGAACAAAUUCCUUUUCAGUUAGUAGAUCAUUGUUUUUCUUUCUUUCUUUAUAUCUGUGUGUAUGAGAAAAAAACUUUAAUGUCGAUGCACAUGCAGCCUAGGAAGCUUUUGACUCACCCAAGCUUUCAAUCUUUUGGAGAUCACAUUGUAAAACUAUUCUUUUCUUUAAUUUUUGGUUUAAAGGAUGUUGUUAAACAAGUUGUAGUAACAAAAUUUCAAUUUUAUUCAUGGGAGAACGUUUGGUUAGCGAUGAAAAUUAUUUUUUGUUUGAUUUAGUCUUUCAUGUGCUAACACUGGUUUCUUAUUACUGAAAUCGCUUCUGUUUUGUACUGAUGGGGAAAGAACCUUUUUGUACGAUUUUAGUUAUUGUAUCAUGCUUUUUUCUUUUCUUUUCCUUUUCUUUUUUUGGCUUUGUUUAUGAUUUUUGCACAAUGAUGGAAAACUCAUUGAACAUGAGUUCUAUUUCUGGUUUCAUUUAGGUGUUUACUAUCAUCUGUCACCAUGAUCAUCAUCAUCAGACUACCAUUUAUUAUUUCCUCUUUAUAUCUAUCUGUCUGUCUAUCUUCCGAUUCAUCCAUCUAGCUAUUUAUUCAUCUAUCCAUCCAUCUAUCUUUUGAUUCAUCCAUCUAUUGGUUCAUCCAUCUAUUUAGCCAUCCAUGGAUCAAUCUGUCAAUGCGUCCAUCUACUUAUCCAUUCAUCCAUAUCUAACUAUCCAUUCAUCUAUAUAUCCACCCAUUUAACUAUUCAUCCAUUCAUCCAUCUUCUAUUUGAUGGCUGAUGAUUUGUAAAUUUCUUUAUGAGAAUCAAUCAUAUUGUUAAUACUGUGAAUGACCAAGCAUACAUAUAAGAUCUGAGGGCUUUGUUAAUCAUAUUGAAUCUUAGACUUCAUCAUGCCAUUUUUUUUCCUUUAGACGUGAUUUGCAUCUUGAUCAUAUUUGUUCUACCUGUCACUUAAUGCAUAAUUAAGUAAUUAACAUUUUUCUUCCAUGGGAAUUAUUUUCUGUUUGUGUUAUUUUAAUCAUUGAAGCCUAUUUUAUAUUUGUGUUGAACUUCGAUCAUGCUCUUUUUGUUUCCUUCAUAUGUUUGUUUCAUCAAUUAUAUAAUUUGUCUUCUUGAAUUGUUGCUUUGAAAGGGUUAAGCAUUCCUUUGUGGUUCUUGUAAACCUUUCUGUGUUUAUUAUCUGCUAGUACUUAAGUAUGCUAAUGCUAGUUCUUAGUGAUUCAUUUUGGUUCUAUUCAACCUAACUAAUCAAUCUCUCAUUGCUUCCGAAACAUAAUAUCAAGUAUCCAAUGAUGAGAAGUUGUUGCAAAGGGUAUUUCUUUUGUUCUCUUUAUCUCUAUAUAAAUGAACUAAUGAGCCUAGCUAUUGUUGAAAUGUGAUACUGGGUAUUAUGUUCUUUUUUAAUUUUAUCUUCCUUUCAAGUUGUUUAGCUUUUUCAAGUACUCUUUGUGAUAUCUUUUCUUGUUUAAGUUUGGUCUUGCUUGCCCCUAGCAUUAUUCUGUAUUUUUGCUCAUUUCCCCCACUCUGCCAAGUGAUGGAUACUUUUUAGGUGCAUAGAGUUUGCUAUGGUAUUGUUGUUGAGCUGCAUCUUUUCUGCUAGCCAUCGUUGGUUUUGGCACUCCUCCUUGUAGUUGUUGUUGUUGCUGCUGAUGUUGCCGUUUCCAUUGCCAUUUCCAUUGCCAUUGCUAAUUAUCGUAUUUCUUAGCCUUGUGACUAUUGAUGGCACUAGUAGUAAUGGAUGUUGAAAGCUCUUCAUUAAAACUACAUAGCAUCACUGUUUAUGAAUUGGUGAUAUUAUCGAGUUUUGAUUCUGAGGGCGUUGCUAUUUCUUUUACCUUAUUUAGUGUUUAGUUUUUGAAGGUCUAGUGUUUUGCUGAGUUGAUGGCAUUGCCUGUUGCUGCAAGAGUGUAGAUAUACUCCUUUAUUUUACCUAAAGAGUUAGAUAUUUACCAAUUUACCAUUACUAAAUGAAAAUAUGGUUUCAAUGGGAUUAUCGGAAUUGGUGGAGUGUGACUGUUAGCAGAGAUCCCUGAAGAAGGUUGAAGCCGAUGCUGUGCCCACUGGUGUUUUGGCUAAGGGAAAUGAGAAGUCCUACGAAACAUAUUUAGUAUAACCCGUAAAGUUUGGAAUGUAAAUAGUAAAUUCUGGGCUAAGCAAAAAUCAAAAGAAUCAUACCUAUUGGGAGUCAUUAGCAGCAGGAGGCUGUGUUUGUCAUGGAUGGAUGAUUGCUUCUUGUAUCCCAUCUCCCAACUUCCCUUUGCAUCUUACCCAAAUCCAUUUCUGUAAAACAAAGAACCAAUGGUAUUUAAUGAGUUGCUCAACAAUAUCCUUAAGAAAAGGCCUGGAAAAGGAUAAACAAUCAAUUAAUUCAAAUACAAUUACUCACGGGAGAUGUCAAAAGUUAUUUGUCUAAGUACACAAGUGCAAUGCAGGUCUUAGCCUGUUAAAGAAGCUAAAGAUAGGGAUUCUCAUGGAAAAGUGGAAUGAUCAUCCUGCAGUCAUGUUUGUGGGUGUCAUGGAUGGAACUUCAGAAACCAUUUUCCAGAUGCUUGUCUCUUGGACCCUCAAGAUCAGAGCAAGUUGCCAAGUACUUUGUAUUUUUUGUCAGCUCUUAUACCCUUUUUCAAGAGCCAUUGUUUGAUUUCAAUAGCAAGUGGUACGUCAAUUCUAUGCAUACUUGUAAUGGUAGUAAAUUUAGCAUUGUGAUUCGUUGGAUUAGAUGGCAUUGUGAUUGUUAUUUUCUCAUUGGAUAACAUUUUAUGUGCCGUUGGAGCUUAUGUCUCACUGAAGUUGUAAUGGAGUGAAAAUGUGAACUUAAGUUUGAUGCAUGA